GCCAUUAUUCCGUGAACCGUGAUAUCUUAGUUGCCUGACUUUCGUAACUGCAACCAGAUAUAAUCCGGUAACAUUGCCGAGAUCUGUCAGCACCAUGAGAGAAAAAUACAACGACUGUAUGUCUGUAAAAUUAGUAUCAUGUUUACAGAACUGGAAAAUUCUGGAAACCGCGAAUCUCUGAAAAUUGGAAUAUCCGCAGCUCUUUAAUCCAAGAAGAACAUCAUCUGAUUUGGUUCACGUGACGUUAUACUACACCGUACAAUUUGAUAAUGACCUAAUUAGAGUAUUAAAUAUCAAUAUGGAUAAUGAACGAGAAUAGAGCAUAUGUGUACAUUGAUGGACAGCAGAACAGUGUAGAAGCUUUGAACUGUUUCGCAAAGCUUUGUGCAUUUGCAAUUCCCCGAAGGAGAGCUGUUCAAUCUAUUAUGCUGGCUAUGGUUGUCAAAGAUUAUUUGGUUGUAGCAUACGUGAUACAAGCUGUGCUUAAUUAAAUUAAUAUGUGUAGACAGUGAUUAUAAGUGUUUCAUAUAAAUUUCAUAUACAUGCACAUAAUUAAUGAAGCAAUAUAUACGGUUAGGUACAUUACUUCACAAAAAUAAUUAUU